AACGGUGUUUUUUAAAUCUUUUGCUGACGACAACUUCCAAAUCUACAUAAGACCAGGAUUUUUUAAGGGAACAAGAAAUCUUCAUAGGGAUACAUAGAUUGAACAUUUUCUAAAUGGAUCCACAGAACUCUGUGUCUCACCUGCAGUUGCUGCUGUUAGUGUAAAAGUGUGAUGUUGACUAUAAAAAUUUCAGCAACAGAAUAAAGAAUUCCAAGAGUCUAAUACGGUUUAUUAAACAGGAUUUUAUCAUUGA